GGAGCAAUCCGCUUUGAGAUGGCCUCGCGUCCGAUUAGCUAGUUGGUGAGGUAACGGCCCACCAAGGCGACGAUCGGUAGCCGGACUGAGAGGUUGAACGGCCACAUUGGGACUGAGACACGGCCCAGACUCCUACGGGAGGCAGCAGUGGGGAAUAUUGCACAAUGGGGGAAACCCUGAUGCAGCGACGCCGCGUGGAGGAAGAAGGUCUUCGGAUUGUAAACUCCUGUUGUUGGGGAAAAAGAGGAUGGUACCCAACAAGGAAGUGACGGCUAACUAC
rnacentral:rRNA from 1 species